GUAUUUUUAUAGCAACACAUAUACUAAAAUUGGAAUGAUUCAGAGUGAAAUUAGCAUGGCCCCUCUACAAGGCAUGUAUAUUUAUGAAUCAGUCUCCAUAUUU